CCAGGCGGUCCUCGCCGCACCUCUGAGCUUCAUAUUUAAUGGAGCGGAGUUCCGACAUCGCCGUUGUGGGAGAAACAUGGAGUAGAGAGAGGAGUCAAGGGAACCCAUUUCGACGACGGUACAGCUCAUCUUGGCCGUCUUUCUCCUCCGUGCGAGGCCGUUUCCUUCUCCGCUCGCCUGAGCCGCGAUAGCAAGGUCCCGGCGGCGAACUCCGCCUACGCAGAGGUACGAGGCCUUCUUCUUUCGGCAGUCACCGGCGAUUUAUCUAGCUGCUCAUACUUCGUCCGCCGCGUGAUUUCGUCGCUCCUGGUUGAUGAUUUUCGGAAGGGGGGACCGUCAGGACUAGUGAGCAACCUUUGAUAAGGAAGGAUCGUAGAAGCCGAAACCACACAGCGAACGAUAAAUUCUCUUCCUAGAAUAGUAUCUCGUAGCUUUCUCCUAAGGAUGAGAAUUAUGUCCAAGGUUGGUCAAAGCCCGGGUGGCCAUGCAGAAUUUCAAGAGCCUCUCGGAGCCUGCGGGAGAUCCGAAGGGCAGCCAUGAUUUUCGAAUAGAGAGGAGGAAACGAUUUUCGAAUACUAACCUGAGGAAGAAACUUACAGCUAGAGAAUCACACAGAAAACAAGAGAAUACGGUUCUUUGAUUUCAAGACUUCAGAUCUGCUCGUUGACCAAUGUUUGAUCUUUGGAAGGCCUGGAGAGAUUUUGAUGAGCUAUCGAGUUCCUGUUUGCGUGAAGAUCGUGAGAAAAAGAAUUCACGGAAUUGUGAUUCUAUUUUUUGGAUUCUCCAUCUGCCCUUCUUGAGAAAUAUUAAAAUCUGUGCAAAUUACCAGUCUUUUAAUCUUAAAUAUCCAAUUAUUAGACAGAAUUACGAAAUACUUGAGACCGCCGGAGAGUCUUUCUCGGGCUGCAAGAUGAACGAUCUCUUAUCGGUAAUUUACUACUCAUUUAGAAGUGCACUUUUCCAGAAAAAAGAGGAGCAGGUGAAACGCUAUCGUUGGUUGACUUUUGGGUAACAGCGUCUUCGUCAGAAAAGUUAACUAUAAUAAUUCACGCCGAUGAACGGGAGAAUAUUAUCUCCACUAAAAUGGACAGCUCAAUUCUCUCUCUCUCUCNNNNNNNNNNNNNNNNNNNNCUCUCUCUCUCUCUCUCUAUAUAUAUAUAUAUAUAUAUAUAUAUAUAUAUAACAAGUGCGUACCAAGAGCCAGGCCGUACCGGACAUUUCCUGUUCUUGACGGUCAAUUGAAUCGUUUUUUGGUUUUAUCUCAUUAAAUGGAGAUAACAUGAUAUAAGGGUUCUCCGGAGAUUGACUCUUAUGGAAAUCUAAAUGCAUAUGUCUUAGACUUCCGGACCCAGCCCGGUUCUCCGUAUGUCUCUCCCAUUUCCUCAUCAGAUGUGGCCUCCUCCACGUCUGCAGAAGAUGUAUCACCCCGGCGAUAGUUGUGCCCCGGACAUUUUUUGCUGCCUAUGCUCAUAGAUUGUCAUGUUCAUCUCCUCGCCCAGAGCUCUCCUCCAGGACUUUGACUGCUGAGAAAGCGCAAUGAUUUCUGGCCUUUAAAAACUAACGCUGUAUCUUGGUGACGUGUCACCAUUGGUACGAUUGCGCGCGUUAUAAGUUCGCCGGACCCCAGCCUGGUAAAUUCGUCUGAACUACUGCCAUAUGGUCAUCGUGGGUCCGAACAACUAAAGCGUCUACAAAAGGGUAAGUUUUUUUCCGGGAUAAAUUUCUUAUUUGGUGUUGUUCAAUACUACUUUCGGGAAUAGUUUCAAUCAGAAGACCACUAACCACACGGUAAUCCUUCGGUUGAUCAGAAAUAGAUCCAUCGGAUGCAUACUUUGAUGGUAUCAGCUCCAACGUAGUGAUUGACAUGCCCCGAAUUUAGGAUGCAAGCACUUGAUUUGUCUAUCUCAGACAUAAAAAAGAGGGUAAUCUACAUCAACUGAUAUCAAGUCAUUCAAACAAUCUCAUCUGUUUCUUCUCGACUCUGUCAACGCCGGAUGGACAGAUCCUGAAUUAUGAGAAUCUGUUUAGUUAAAUAUGCUUUGGCGUAAAAGAACCUCCCAUUAAUAUGUUUAACCGAGAGAAAGAAUCAGGUGAAAAGGAACAAAAGGGUGCAUACCAUUUAUAAUUUCCUCUGGUAUAAUUUUAGAUAAGAAAGAUAUGAUCCCCAUAAAAGCACCUAUUUGACUUUGGUCUGAGCCAUUCCUUAUUCUCUUGGGCAGUGAAAUUCUACGAAAGUACUCCGUUUCAUAUUUUAUCCUGCUACCGGUCGCCGUAUUGAUGCCGAUAUGUCGUAUUGAUCUUCCAGUAACACCCGUUUGACACAUUUCUGAGAACCCUUUGCCAACAACAACCCUCGGAAAGGGCAAUCCUGGUGUGGCCUUGUCUCAAAGGUUUUGUUUUCUACCUACAUAGAGCAUUUGCACAUGGCUUUCAUAUCUAUAAUGUUUUCUUCUUGAUGUUGGACUUUCGGAAAAUUAUUUCACUAAAGAAGAGCAGUGAUCUUCGUAUCUUACCAG
rnacentral:lncRNA from 1 species